rnacentral:lncRNA from 1 species
GAGUCGGGGACGAAGUCCGGCUCCCGUAGGAGUCCGGACGAAGUCUACCUGCAAUUGAAGUCGGGGGUGAAGUCCAGCUCCCGUAGGAGUCCGGACGAAGUCUACUUGCAAUUGAAGUCAGGGAUGAAGUCCGGCUUCCGUAGGAGUCCGGACGAAGUCUACCUGCAAUUGAGGUCAGGGGCGAAGUCCAGCUCCCGUAGGAGUCCGGACGAAGUCUACCUGCAAUUGAAGUCAG